CAGGGAGACAACAAAAUGUUUAAUAUUAUUAUUUUGUCACCUUAGGUCGAUCGGUAUCUCACAUUCUUAAUUUAUUAAGGAUUUCAUUUCCUAAGUUUUUCUAGGUCACACCCAUUAUUUUCCUGGGCCAUUAGCUCAGGUGGUUAGAGCGCACCCCUGAUAAGGGUGAGGUCCCUGGUUCAAGUCCAGGAUGGCCCAUAUCUCUAUGUUGGGGGUAUAGCUCAGUUGGUAGAGCGCCUGCUUUGCAAGCAGGAUGUCAGCGGUUCGAGUCCGCUUACCUCCACUGAUUACCACCUCUUCCAUAAUUAUGAUGAAGGAAAUGUUUUGAGUUGUGAUCAAAUUCUGAACGAUUCUAGCUUCCUAAUGAAAUCAUUAAGAUGCUGGACUCAUUGAAUUAAUUUCAUUGUUUUCAGAGAACCUUGACAACUGCAUAGAUUAUUUUUAAAGACAAUAAGCAUCUUUAAUGAUGCAGAUUUAUUAUUUGUGCGAAUGCAUUAAAUAACAAUUCUAUUAAGCUGAUGCUUCAAUUAUUGAAGUUAUU
rnacentral:tRNA from 1 species